ACAAUCUCUUACCCUUCCCUGAUAUGCAUGUAAAGUCUUAUUUCGUGUGUUUAUUUGUCUGUACGCUGAUUCACCCCAUGUUGUCAACCACUGAAAUCGACAUCCCUCUUGAAUUGUUUAUUUAUACACAAGAGGCGGUUCCCGGAUCUUAGGCGGCACGUGAACGAGAAGUCUAUAAAGUGCACACUGUGUACACAAGUAAAAGGCAAGUUUUGCAAACCCCACUUUGUCACACCUACAGGAGGUCCUGGAUUCGAUACUGUGAAACCCCACCCCAUCCACCCCACUCGCAAUACGUCAGGAGGCGUGAACCCAUCGAAGACCUAAAAAUAGAGAUUUGGGUGCAAUAAUUCUGGGUCCCAACUCAUGGACACAUUCAGAUAAGAUACCAUCCUUCAACUACACUUGAUUCAAUCAUGGAAAAAAAAAAAAGCUAUAACGUGUCCUUAAUGUGAAGGGUCAGAGAUAAUUGUGCCAUUUGCUAUCAGAGACUGAGGUCUGUCAUUCGUGAAAUGAAAGCUUACUGCGCUAACUUUCACAUCGUCUUUCAAGUUUUACCGUGUGAAAGGUUCACUGAACUCGUGGAGGGCAAAAGCCACCUGCUGAGAGGAGGAGAGCAGUGAAGCGAGUGCACUGCCAGCAAAGCGUGACGGCGUCCUCAGCACCAUCUCCACAAAGAAACAACACUGAGGAUGGAUGUCAGCAGACAGUCUUAGUAAGACUGAACAGUAUGGCAUCUUCUGAGGCUUCCAAAUAUGUGAUGGAACAUACAGAUAAAAUGUGAUUAUAAAUGUUCAUAUGUGUGUGUGUGUCUAUAUAUAUUAUAAAUAGUAAUUAAAAUCGUGGUAAAUCGUAUUACGAUGGCGAUUUCAUUGUCGAAUUCUUAGCUGCCAAGAUGGCGUCUUGUGUCUCGGCCACAGUUUACUCCCUGCUAGGUUGAGUAGGUUAGUGUAGCUAUUGCUCCGAACUGAAGACAGAACUUUCCUUAGUUGACACGUCACCUUUGUGUGAUAAAAGUGAUCGAUCACCUGUGUGUUCAUGUCGCCAUUUUAUUCUCGGCUCGAGGCUUACCGCAGUCUCCACAAAGAUUUUGCGCGCCUACAUGGUGGGUUCAUGUGCAAGUUUUAUUUAAAAACAAAAAUCCACCACACGUCGAUCGACAUUAAAGCAAAAGGGACUGGUAGCGGGACUGGCGACCCGAGGCGAAGGACAGUCAGCCAUCCUCAUGUCACCAGGCUGCUGCCAUGACUACUUUGUCAACGCAAGGGCCGACCUGUGUUUGUCUUCGUCUGUCCUGUCCUUACUCGUGAUGAUCCCUAUAGUAAAACCAAUGAUUAGAUAUAUUACUACUUAUGGUAAAGGCAGAAGAGUAUGUGAAAAUGCCCCAGCUGGUCAUGAUCAUCAGACAACCUAUAAAUUACCAAACUGCAGUGUCAAUAUUAAAAAUUUAUAUUCACUUGUGUUUCGAAACGCAUAUUCGCAGGUGGACAAUGUAAGUGUUUGCAUUAUAUUGGCGUUAUCUUGAUGUCAAUAUUCGACUCAAACCAAUGCUGGUUCAGUUGCUUGUCAGAAGUCUAACAAAUCAACAGUCGCGCAAUAAAUUAGAAGCCUUAUCUGGGCAUUGUCCUUGUUUUCACCCCACCCUACCUUCCUUACUUUAUCUAAAGUACUGCCAGUUGCAUGGCAAAUUCUAAUUAACAUGCCGUGUUCCCUACUGUGACGAAGGUUUACCUUGAAUAGCCGUCUAAUCAAUAUUUGAGGUGAGCCGGGCUUUGAAGGUUUCGAGUGUAAAGAUAGGUAGGUGCACUUGUGAAGCCCCGAAAGGUGCAGCCUGUAACCCUGAUGUAAAGGUGAUCACCUGAGCAGCGAUGACUGACCCAGUGAUGUCAGUGCCAUUUCCUGCGAACAUAAUAGUCCAGCUCGAGAAGGGAGGGGGGAAAAGAAUUAAAAAAAAAAAGAAGAA
rnacentral:lncRNA from 1 species